UAAACAAAACUCCACGAUUAUAAAAACCAUCGCCUAAAUACGGUUUAUUCGGAUCAAGCGUGGCGCGGGUUCAUCUUACCGCUUUGGCCCAAACCAUUAGAACCAUCGGAUCCGGUUCACCUCCACCGCGGACCUGGCAGAGAUACGAUGGAUCCGGUUCUCCGCCGCCGCGGUGUUCUGAUCCUCCUCCUCCUCUCCCAUAUCACCGCCGUCCUUCAAACGCCAUCACCCUCACGGUGCAGGCCCAAAAAAGUUGAGUCACAUAAAUGUUUGAACUAGAAGAGGCUGGGAGAGCUGGACGGAUGAAGGAAGGCAAUAAUGCUUCCACUAACAUGAAAUUCCAAGCAUGUACAAGUAAAAUUUUUAUUAUUUUUAGUGCCCCUUUUAAACAUAAUUAUUUGAUUAAUUUAGUUUUGUUUAUAGAGAUUAUUGAGAAAAUGCUUUUGUUUUUCCUGUAGAAGACAAAUUAUUUCUAAUUCCAAGUAAGAUGCACCCUUCUACUUUUGGAAUGACUGAAAUGCAUGAAUACAAGAACCACCAACUAAUUUUGGAUGCUAUCCAUUGUCAUUAAAAAAAACACCAAGAAUGAAACAUGUCAAAUAGUACUGCUGUUUAAUACUUUAUAUAGUCUCCCAAACCAUGCUUGAGUGACCUGUGUCCUAAUGUAUAGAACAUAUGCAGCUAGGUGAAUGAAGAGACAGGAAAUGGCUUUUCAAACAUAAUUUGUAGAACAUUUAUAAGGCACAUGUAGACACAAGAACUGGAUUUAAUAUAUCAUUUAGACUGAAUUGACCUAUUUGGUAACAAAAUGAACAUAACUUGAGCUCACCUUUAAGAAACAAAACAAAACUUGAGACUUGGAAACAUAAAUGGUAAUGUUCGACUUCAAACAACAUAAAAAUUGAUAAUGAGUCUUAAGGAACAAAGUCUGUGGAAGCUCAGCACCAUAAUAGGAAUCAUAAAAUGUCUGCGGAUGCCUAAUGCUGCAAACGCACUAGAUCAAGAUAUACAACUCCUGCAAGAUCAGCGCAUUGCUUUCUCUUGGACUGAAGACAAUGCUCAGAGCUGAACGAGAGGUCAAACAAGCUUUCAACAGGUUCAAAUCCUGCACCACAAAAUAAUGAAAGAAUAAUAAGUUGGGUAAUCUUCUAGAGGAUUGGUAGACUUUUCUUUAAGAAACCAUGAGAUAAAAGCAUUUUCACACCUCUGUUUCGCCCAGAGUUACCUUCCCCUCUACCAAAGUGCCAAUUAGUACUUUCAAUUCCUUGAAGAUUUCGACACUGCAUAGAGGGAGGGGUGUGUCGCAACCAUCUCAUCCAUGACUGUAAAUUUAACAAACCUGUUAGAAAACGCCCUCCUAUUCCCGUCCCUGGCGUGCACAACUCGGUAUUUAUUUCAGUGCUAUUACAGAUUGGCUUGUCAUCAAAACUGAACAGAGAAUCAUUACAUCUAAUAUGAAGAGGAAUCUUAGGAUCAGUAAGUUUUUUUUCUUGCGUUCCUCGGAGACAAUGCAAUCACCACUACCCACAUUUUAAAAGCAACAACCAGAUUCUGCGAACUGAAGUGAACCUGCCAAAGACAAGCAGUGCUGUAGGAUGCGAAAAUUGCUGGCAUGUAGGGAGGGGUUAGUGAGGUUCAUCGUUCCUAAUGAGAUGGCUGAGACGCCAGUUUCACUAAUUUCUGGAAUUGGUGUGAUCAAAGAGCUUGGAGCUUCCGUUAACAACUUAGUUGAGAAGGAGCUGGAACUUGGAGAAUCAGAAGUUUUGAUCUGUUGAAAGGUCGUAUGAUCUUCCAAUCCACUGAACAAAGUAUUCUCUCCUAAGAAGCUGAGGAAGGCAUUCUAAGCUAUAACCUUUACUAGUGAACUUGCAUUUAAUGUUUUAAUAUGUCUCAAACUUUCUGCCAAUAAGGUCAGAACUUUUGAUGGUAAUCUAGUAGUUUAUUCAAUAUAAUAUAAUGCAAUUUUUUUCUUUUUGAAA